rnacentral:rRNA from 1 species
AACGAACGCUGGCGGCAGGCUUAACACAUGCAAGUCGAGCGCCCCGCAAGGGGAGCGGCAGACGGGUGAGUAAAGCGUGGGAAUCUACCCAUCUCUACGGAAUAACGCAUGGAAACGUGUGCUAAUACCGUAUAAGUCCUUCGGGAGAAAGAUUUAUCGGAGAUGGAUGAGCCCGCGUUGGAUUAGCUAGUUGGUGGGGUAAAGGCCUACCAAGGCGACGAACCAUAGCUGGUCUGAGAGGAUGACCAGCCACACUGGGACUGAGACACGGCCCAGACUCCUACGGGAGGCAGCAGUGGGGAAUAUUGGACAAUGGGCGCAAGCCUGAUCCAGCCAUGCCGCGUGAGUGAUGAAGGCCCUAGGGUUGUAAAGCUCUUUCACCGGUGAAGAUAAUGACGGUAACCGGAGAAGAAACCCCGGCUAACUUNGUGCCAGCCGCCGCAGUAACAC